rnacentral:rRNA from 1 species
UACGUAGGUGACAAGCGUUGUCCGGAUUUACUGGGCGUAAAGAGCGCGCAGGCGGUCGUUCAAGUCGAGUGUGAAAGCCCCCGGCUCAACUGGGGAGGGUCACUCGAUACUGAUCGACUCGAAGGCAGGAGAGGGUAGUGGAAUUCCCGGUGUAGUGGUGAAAUGCGUAGAUAUUGGGAGGAACACCAGUGGCGAAGGCGGCUCACUGGACCGGAACUGACGCUGAGGCGCGAAAGCGUGGGGAGCAAACGGG